rnacentral:rRNA from 1 species
GACGAACGCUGGCGGCGUGCUUAACACAUGCAAGUCGAACGGAAAGGCCCUGCUUUUGUGGGGUGCUCGAGUGGCGAACGGGUGAGUAACACGUGAGUAACCUGCCCCUGACUUUGGGAUAACUUCAGGAAACUGGGGCUCAUAUCGGAUAGGAGCUCUUGCUGCAUGGUGGGGGUUGGUAAGUUUCGGCGGUUGGGGAUGGACUCGCGGCUUAUCAGCUUGUUGGUGGGGUAGUGGCUUACCAAGGCUUUGACGGGUAGCCGACCUGAGAGGGUGACCGGCCACAUUAGGACUGAGAUACGGCGCAGACUCCAACGGGACGCAGCGGUGGAGAGUAUUGCAGAAUAGGCGGAAGCCAGAUGCAGCAACGCCGCGUGCGGGAAGACAGGCUUCGGGUUGUGAACCAAUUUCGCCUGUGAUGAGAAGUGAGUGACGGUAAUGGAUAAAGAAGCACCGGCUAACUACGUG